CUCGUUUCAAAAGGGUUAACCCACAGCCAAUGGGAGCUUGGGGGAGCGGAUCCUGCUCACUCCAUUCAAGAAUCCCAAGUAUUCAAGAUGGACGGCAGGGAGUGUGGAAGGAGAAAGGGGGCGAGGGGGGAAGAGCGAGAUCGGCAGAGGAGAGGGCGCAGCGGCCGGCCGGCCCCCGGAUCUCAGUCCCGGCGGGCAGGUGGAGGGGCGGCCGCGGGGGAUCCGAGCCCGGCCGGGGAGAGGGGCUGGCGGGGUGCGAGAGGGCGUGAGAGACGGGGAGCGAGGCCAGGGAGGGAAGCCAAGAGGGAGGGAAGGGCAGAGAAAGAGCCCGGGAAGAAGGAGGUGGCAGGCAGAGGAACGUAACGAAGAGCAAUGUGCAGGGCCCCAUCCCCUGCUGCUCUGGGGGGCAGGGGCCGGAAGAUGGUGGCCAAUGAGGAGGGGGAGCGGAGAGAACUUGAGCCGGGGCCUCCCCUCCCCCAUUUCCUCCUCGGUCUCUACACCCGCCUCUGGAAGGAGCUGGGGGAUGGCUCCUGGGCCUAAGGUGGGGGAGGGGCCCUGCUGGCUGGUGAAUCGCAGGGCCCGCUCUGGAAUGAGUUGGGUGUGAGAGCCGAGGGGAUCUUGGCUCCAGGCCCCUCUCUUUUCUCUCUUCGAGGAGGGGUCUGGGCACGCCUUGGCGAAGAAUCUUCCCCUAGCCUCCCUGCAGCUUGCCGGGCAGUCCUGCCUUUGCCCCUCUGCCCCUUGUUGACAUGAUCCAGUUCCCAGCUGAGACUGGUUUGCCCAACCUAGGAACAGAGGCCUGGUGACUGACCCAGCAGGGCCUUGGUUUCCGUCCAUUAGAACUGUGCAAACUGUGGGACGGGGGCCCCAUGUUUGCAGAUUACAGGAGCAAACGCUGCCUGGGAAGCUGGGGGAGAACCUCUCCUGCUUCCUGAGGCGGGUGGGAGGAAGCUGGAGGGGAAGCCCAGAGGAAGAGCUCCCAACUGGAAUUCUGUCCUCCAUUCCUCCUGCUGGCUGUGGCGUGGGGAGGAGGGCAUCUCUCAGGGGGUCACUCCAUCGGCCAGAGGCCUUCGUUG
rnacentral:lncRNA from 1 species